CCUACGGGUUGCACCAGUAGGGAAUCUUCCACAAUGGGCGCAAGCCUGAUGGAGCAACGCCGCGUGUGUGAUGAAGGGUUUCGGCUCGUAAAACACUGUUAUAAGAGAAGAACGGCACUGAGAGUAACUGUUCAGUGUGUGACGAUAUCUUACCAGAAAGGAACGGCUAAAUACGUGCCAGCAGCCGCGGUAAUACGUAUGUUCCAAGCGUUAUCCGGAUUUAUUGGGCGUAAAGCGAGCGCAGACGGUUAUUUAAGUCUGAAGUGAAAGCCCUCAGCUCAACUGAGGAAUUGCUUUGGAAACUGGAUGACUUGAGUGCAGUAGAGGAAAGUGGAACUCCAUGUGUAGCGGUGAAAUGCGAAGAUAUAUGGAAGAACACCAGUGGCGAAGGCGGCUUUCUGGACUGUAACUGACGUUGAGGCUCGAAAGUGUGGGUAGCAAACAGGAUUAGAUACCCCUGUAGUC
rnacentral:rRNA from 1 species